UACGUAGGGUGCAAGCGUUGUCCGGAAUUAUUGGGCGUAAAGAGCUCGUAGGCGGUCUGUCGCGUCGGCUGUGAAAUCCCGAGGCUCAACCUCGGGUCUGCAGUCGAUACGGGCAAACUAGAGUAUUGCAGGGGAGACUGGAAUUCCUGGUGUAGCGGUGAAAUGCGCAGAUAUCAGGAGGAACACCGGUGGCGAAGGCGGGUCUCUGGGCAUUAACUGACGCUGAGGAGCGAAAGCAUGGGGGAGCGAACAGG
rnacentral:rRNA from 1 species